UAGGGAAUCUUCCACAAUGGACGAAAGUCUGAUGGAGCAACGCCGCGUGAGUGAAGAAGGGUUUCGGCUCGUAAAACUCUGUUGUUAAAGAAGAACAUAUCUGAGAGUAACUGUUCAGGUAUUGACGGUAUUUAACCAGAAAGCCACGGCUAACUACGUGCAAG
rnacentral:rRNA from 1 species